CCCCGCGAGAUGGCGCUGAGGGAGAGGCCGAGGCGGGAGAGCAGCAGCCCCUCAGGGACGGGACCCUCUAGGGCGGGCCCAGACCUCGUCCUACAGAGACAGGAUCUCCUCUAUCCUGUCCCCUCUGUAAAAGGACCCCCGUUCCCUUGGUGUGGGGCACAAAGUUCUCUCAGUGACCGGAUCCUCAUUCCCUCAGCGAAUAAGAGUUAUUGCAGAUAUGAUAUGCUGUUGUCAUUGACCUGCAACCCUGUAGCACCUCAGACUGCUCAUCAUGGGUGAGGUCACCCCUGUUCCAGGCUUUCUCUGAGCCAGCCAUGGUGGCCUGAGCCUCAAAGCACAAGCCAAGAGGCUGCCUGGGGAGAUGAAGAAGUGGGGACAUGAGACAUGUCAGCACCCUGGCACGGUGAAAGUGUGCAAGUUGAGUCGAGAGAUCCAGAAUUAUUCCCCAUCUCCACCACAACCUUCCUGCAUGACCUCCAAGGAGGUAUUUGGAAAGUCACUGGAGAGAAGAGGCAGAUGCAGCUUACGAUGCUUAAUUGCAGGCCUGCCAGGAUCUCUGUGCUUGCCUUUGCCUCCUCCCCUCCUGUGGCCCUUGCAGACCAAGGUCCCAGAUCUCCAACCAACAUGAGAGGAGCCUUCAAUGGGAAAAAUAAAGCCUCUUAAAAAGCUCUUCUCUUUCCUAUCUCUUUGUUUUUGUGUCAUCAUAGAACCAUAGAAUGGUUUGGGUUGGAAGAAACCUUCAAGAUCUUCUUGCUCUAAACCCCCUGCCAUAGGCAAGGACAUUUUCCACUACCACAGGUUGCUCAGGGCCCCAUCCAGCCUGGCCUUGAACACCUCCAGGGAUGGGGCAG
rnacentral:lncRNA from 1 species